rnacentral:piRNA from 1 species
UAUGUUUUUCUCCCAACAAUA